rnacentral:lncRNA from 1 species
AAAGCGCUUCGGAUUUAGGGUGUUUUAAGACGGAAUGUGGAGAGAAUAAUAGGAAGCAGGACUUCUCUCUGGGAAGCAGGUACCUUUAGCUCAUUCCUCAAGCCUCCUUCCUCACAUUCCUAUCCCCUGUCCCUGGUGCGGAUGCUGGAUGCUGCUGCUAAGCCCAGCAGAGGCCAGCAACAGGAGUCACGCCUGUCUGGCCGCUCCCAGUCGAACCCAGUCUGUGUAGGUGGGCGCGAGGGCUGGCGCUGGAGGCUGGGAGGACCUUUCAAGCAACCAGCAAACGCGCUCGGGAGUUCAUUGACUGGCCGCUUAGAGCUUCAGGGACCCAGGAGAUAGCGCUGCACUGGAUCGGCUGGGCUGUGUGUAUAUAUGCGUGUGUGGGUUUUUUUUCUCCCUCUCCAUCUUCAUCCUUCUCCUCAAGCCGUCCCCCCCGGGAGAGUCGCUUCGUCCACGCUUUCCCUCCCCUGCAAGGGGUCCCAACGCUUGGCGCCUGGAAUGUUUAGGACUCUGGAACCUUCAGUUUCCUGUCCUGCCUCCGUGUGGGCGACACUGGUCUCACCUGGCUUGACCCUCAGUCCCAGAGAGUGCUGCCAGGCCACGAUCUGCUGUCCAUUCUGGGUGCCCAUCUCGGAGGGAUACUCUGGGGACAGCCUGCAUCCAGUACCCAGCUUGAAGAGGGAAACUUGAUCCCAAGAUACGGGUUUCGAAGCCUGCAUUUGAAAAGGACCCGAGCGACCCGAGCGCACAAGGCGACUUGUCUGGGGCGAAGGGAACGGCGAGCCUCUGUGAGCGCCUUCAUUAGGGACCCUACACCGGAAGGUGCAGCCGGGCACUGGCCCUCGGGACAUUCGCUGGGGAUCCUUUGGCCACCCCAGCCUCUUACCUCGAAAAGCUGAGGAAUGUCCCUCCGGGCCAGGCACGUUUCUUCUGUUAAUUGUCAUUCUGCAGUAUAAUUAAUUAAUUUCCAUGCUGCUUCUAACUGGGUGAAAUUACAAGACUAAGGAUCGACCACAUCUCUGCAAGCAGUGAGCGUGCUUAAGGAGAGCUCUUCCCAGGCCUUGAGCCGCAGAGGAAGGAGGAACAAAAGCCCAGGGUCAUCCGUGCUUUCUCAGUGAGUCUGGUUACCUGAGACCCUGCCUGAAAAGCUCAAACCAAACCAAGGAAAAAAUAAGAUGGUUUCAAAGGAGCUGAGCACUUGCAAAGUAUACCUUCAGAGUUUCAAUACGUUUUAAUUAUUGAAGAAAGAAUGGAUUUCAUGGUAACGUCAUUUGCCUCCUAUGCCAUUAGACCUCCAAAGCAAUGAAGAUGUUAAAGACUCAUAAGUACGGGAUACUCUCCAAGUCAGCAAUUCAGCCCCAGUGGUCAGUGACAUGGGAGCCCAGGCAGCACCGAGGUGAAAGGAUUCACCCUGAGCUGGCGUCUGGACCUGCGCACACCCAGUCCCACCAGGGACCACUAGUGAUGAGUAGGAGGUUUGAGACUUGAGUACUUGCUUCAUCACAGGGGUCCCUGACGCACCCCAUUCUGAGACAGUAGAUUGGAAACCAGGGUAUGGAAAUAACCACCGAAAGUGACCUUCUGCCAUGGUAUUUGUAAAGGGAAGAACAGUUAAUCCCAAGAGUGAUGGAGCCUGUUAGGCAACUUGGGCCACACAGGGCAAGAAACCUUUGUCGCUCUCCCAAGAUGGAACCAAGAUGGACCUUGGCAGUUACAGAGAGCUCCAGCGCAUGAACUUCCCUCACAGCAGAACCCAAAUUCCACAGGAAGCAGCCAAGGAAGGGACAGAGGAAGCAGGGGACAGCUGGGAAUAUCAGCUCUCCUUGUUGCCUCCCCAAGGCACACGUUACGACCAUCUAUCGAGAGAAGAGCAAGAAGGGUUUUCUGAGAUGCUGGGGUUUAUAUAAGAUAGAGCUUAUCAAAUACUUUCCAUCUGUCCAAGAAAUUUUUACACAAGUCUAGGUAUAAGUAUAUAAAAUAGGUUUACAAAUCAAACUGAUAACUUGCUGAUAAUAUAAAGAAAUGUGUUUUAAAACUG